UCUGAGCAAAAGACUAAUAGGACACAGAAGCAAUGUAAACAAGCUAGAGAAAUUGAUGAACGAACACCAGACUAACACAGAAGCAGCCAAAGAAACACUAAUAGAAACAACCACAGCCCUGAUCCAACACUGCAUACAACACAACCAUAGAUUUAACUUAGACCUAACAGAGAUUAUAGACCACAGCUACAAACCGACACUACUUCCAUUCCUCGAGAUGUGCCACAUCACAAACACAGACCACACAGUUAAUAAACGGACAGACAUUGAUAGACUAAGUACCACAUACGCAGCAGUGUUGCACAGCAUCAAAAAUUCAUCCAAACGAUACACACUUGACACACAAGAAAAUACUGUAGACGAAUCGUAGUUAUUAAGAUAGGGCAGUUUUCGCUACCAACAAAUUUUAAACAUAAUUAAGGGGAUGAUAAAGGCAAAAUUGCGCCAUUGCCAAAUGUCCGUUGAAAGUUAUAACAAGCAAAAUAAGUCAUGUACCAACAAAUUAAUGACAGGACAGUUACAGUUAGACGAAACACAAGACCAAAAACGACCAAAUUAGUGUAAGUUACCGUGACAAAAUUAUGUAACAGACCAAUUAGUACAUGUAUUAAAUUCUAGUUCCCCCUGAAGAAGACACUAACCCCGUGUCGAAACGUUGGGCAAGUAA